CAACAAGAUGACUUUUCAGGAAAAUGAUAUAGAUGAUGGACUGAAAGGCCAUCAGUGAUGGAUCUUUUCUGUGUUAGUCAGGAAUAAAGUCAAGGUGGAUUUAGCCUUACUCAUUUGACUUAUCAGGAUAACUUAUUUUAUAAUCUGAUAUUUUAUAGUUGUCAUUAUAAUUUGAGAUAUUCAACAGAAUCUACCCAGAUACAGUCAUAACAAAACACACUGUCUCCAUCUAGUUCUAAGUGUUAUAUCACAUUAUAAUUUGUAAUUUUACAUGUAUCUAACAUCAAAUUACAUCAUUUGAAAGUAAAGCAUUUUUGGGAAAAGAUCUAUUUAAAUAAUUAUAUUCUUGUGUGCUUGUUCUUUCAUGAACACCUGGGGUAAAGUUUGGUAGACACAUUAAGCACGACUUUACAAUGUGCUAAAUGCUGUUUAUUUGAUAGCUGUUUUUUUUCCCCAUUUUUUUGUAUGCAGAACAUGCUAAAGAACUUUUCUGUUUACCACAUAAAUGUAUUAUCUAUUUUAUAUUAACAUAAAUUAUUUGUUUUGUUUCUUAUUGUCUGGAACUGACAAUUUUAUGUUUGGAUAUGAAUCACUAAUAAUUGCACUGCUUUUCAGAUGUAAUAUCAGACUAAAAUGAAAUGAGAGUGAUAACUACUUCACAUUUAGUUGGACUAGGGCGAAACUAAAUGCUGGCACAAGUUCAACGUGUGAUGUAAAAGUAAAAGCAGAAUGACUAGAGACCAGUAACUUAGAACAGAAUUGAAGAAAUGCAGGUCUUUGUUCUAUAUGGUGAAUUAGGAAAAUAUAGAGGAUUUUUGGAUUUAUCAGUGAAACCUGUGAAGUGUUAGUGAAGCAGAAUAGUUACAAAUCAUAAGAGAUGUGGGUCUUAGUUCAGUAUGGUGUAUAUGGGAAACAUAGUGGAUGACCAGUGUAGAAAACAUACCAAAGAAAUAUAUAUCUGCUGUAUGCCACAGACAAACCAAGAUGUGGGAUAGAGCUAUCUGCAGUAUGACAUAGACACACCAAGAAGUGAGUUAGAGCUAUCUGCAGUAUGCCACAGACAAACCAAGAAGUGAGGUAGAGCCAUCUUCGGUAUGCCACAGACAAACCAAGAAGUGAGGUAGAGCUAUCUUCAGUAUGCCACAGACAAACCAAGAAGUGAGGUAGAGCCAUAAAUUCACCAAGAAGUGAGUUAGAGUUAUCUGCAGUAUGCCAUAGCCACACCAAGAAGUGAGGUAGAGCUAUCUGCAGUAUGCAUUAGACACACCAAGAAGUGGGGUAGACCUAUCUGCAGUAUGCCAGGAGAAGUGAGAUAGAGCUAUCUGCAGUAUACCACAGACAAACCAAGAAGUUCACAUUGUUUUGCACAGAUUUGUGUUCAACGUGUAUCACCUUGAAGGGAUUGUCAUAGAAAAGGUGUUGACUUAAGAUACAAUCUCCAGAGGAAAGUUGACGAGACAAGGGCCACAGUUGAAAAUUCUGACUUUGUAGUAGAUCGCAUAGCAACACAUAUUCUCCAGUCCAGAGCAGAUGGAACUGUAUCAAAAUAUUCCUAUCAGGUGAAGGCUUUCAAAGAUUUCUGCGAAAGUAAAAGCAAACCCAGCUCAGUCAAUUCACGUUGCUAUGUACCUUUCAAAUUUAAUGGACAUUGGCAAAUCACACAAAGUUGUUACGUCAGCUUUUUACGCUAUAAGUGGUUACAUAAUAUAAUCGAUUUUGAAGAUCUAAGCGAAAACACAAUAGUGAAAAGCAAGUUGGAAUGUGCCAAAUGAAUAAACUAAAGCAAUAGUCAAAAGGGACAUUGUUUCAUCGCAGCAUUUGAUUAACCUCUGUGACAAGUACACAAAUAAUACAGAUGUUAUUGUACUGAGAGACUUAUCAAUGAUUUUAUUGACUUAUGCAAAGUAAGCGACUUAAGAUGUUGCGACAUAACAUUCAGUUCAGAUUAUAUAGUUGUUCAUAUUAAGCGUAGUAAAACAGAUUUUUAUAUAGCUGGUAGAGAUGUAUUCAUUUCUAUAGGUUCCACUAGUGUAUGCCCAGUAUCAAUACUGAAAUACAUGCCGUUUGCUAAGCUCCGCAAUGAUUCAGAAGUAUAUUUAUUUUAACCCGCAUGCAGAUCAGGGUCGAAAUUCUUUUUACUUAACAAGAAUAAAAAACUUAGUUAUAUUUGUGCUAGAAAGUGUAUUGUCCAAACAUGAAGGCCAGUAGCACCUGACUUGAAAUUAGGUACCCACACAUUACGUGCUAGUGCAGCCACUACUGUUGCAAACACAAGUGAUGUUUCAGAGCAUUGUAUUAAACGCCAUGGUAGAUCGAAAACAGAUGUUUCCAAAUAUUUAUAAAUUGAUGAUUCAAUUGAAUAGAAUUUAGUUACAUAUUACCAAGCAAUUAAUAUUGUAGAAACGUUAAGUAUAGAAAAUGGCAGUGACUAGUUUAUUAUGUAUUGUUCACAGUAAUUUUUCGAAUUUAUAAAUGCUGUGCUAACCUUUUAUCGUUCUGUAGAGGUUUUGUGUUGAUUAUUUUGUACACAGGUGCAUUGAGACCUUUCAACGUAAUUGUAGUACAAUGGGCGGUUCAGUGAAGUGUAAAGUCAUGUAACGAAGAUUGGUUUACUGGAGGGAAAAUCCAGUUCAAGGAUUGACUUUGGCUACGUAACACGACUUUUCAAAUUCGAAAAAUUUGUGAUAAUGUACUUACAUAUAUGUAAAGAUUUAUAGUAAUUGCAGAUGUAUUCAUUUUAUGAAAGUUAUUUGCAUACUCGUCCGCAUAAUUCUGAUAUUCAAAAUAUAUGCGAUAAUGUACUUGCAUAUAUGUAAAGAUUUAUAGUAAUUGCAGAUGUAUUCUUUUAAUGAAAGUUAUUUGCAUACUCGUCCGCAUAUUUCUAAUAUUCCGAAGAAUGAACUAGGGUUUAUAUGUUUAGUUAACCCUAGGUGCAUACGCUAUGGUCACACUUUUUCUUUCUUUUUUUUGUUGUUGUUGUUGUUGUCUUGCCUCACAGAGGUUUUGGUUUGUUGGCGGCUGUCAUUCCUGUGACAAAUAUGCAGUGGAAUCUGUCAUACUUACAGUGUAUAGUUUAUAGAAGCAUGAAAUAAAAUUGUUACAAAGUUGUUGUGUUUUUAGCUCACCUGUCACGUACUGACAAGGUGAGCUUUUGUGAUUGUCCGUCGCCUGUCGUAUGUUGUCCGUCUGUCCACAAUUUCUUGAGAACACGAUAGAAACCACAUUUUGCACCCGAGUUCAAUCAAACUUGUAUACAACUUGUAUUGGCAUAUUAUCUCGAUUUCUGACGAAAACUGGCCAGAUCCCAUAACGGGUUUUAGAGUUAUGGCCCCUUAUAGGGACAAAAUUUGCUAUUUUUGGC
rnacentral:lncRNA from 1 species